UUAAAUUUGCGUCACAAAUAAAGUGAUACAGAAUGGUGAAUCUCUGGACUGUAUAUAAAGCGGAUUGUUCGUUUCAAUCAACAAUCAGUUUUCAAUAUAUCUCAGUCUCAGUUGAGUCCGUACAGUUAAUUAAGUAAACCAAACAAAAAUUCACAGAAUGGCCAAAUUUGUUGCUUUUCAAUUAUUGGUUGUGGUGUGUUCUGUAUCAAUUGCUAUUGCUGCACCAGCGCCAGAUCUCGAUCCAGACAACACAUCACACCGCGGUUUUUCAGAUAGGCUCGAUAGCCGAUUUGGCGGGAACAUGAUCUACGAAAAUUUCGCUCGUCCCGCAAUUCACGGAGCGUAUCACGCUGGUCGCUAUGUGGGCAAUGGAAGAAAUCCGGAAGAGUGGGCCCGGGCAAAGGAUCAAUUUAGUAAAUUUGGUACUGGUCAACAGCGUACUGACUAUCUUCGGGCGCACCGUCAAGGUUGAAUCAAUAAAAUGUAAAUGUAGUACGUGCGUGGGUAAAUAAAAUAAUUUCUGGAAA